GCGCCUGUAGCUCAAUUGGAUAGAGCGGCGGACUACGAAUCCGCAGGCUGGAGGUUCGAGCCCUCUCAGGCGCA
rnacentral:tRNA from 1 species